rnacentral:tRNA from 1 species
UGGAAGGGAGUUUGAAUCAAAUAAACAUCUAAUUUACAAUUAGAAGAUCCGAUCGAGUCGGCUUUCCAU